UACGUAGGGUGCGAGCGUUGCCCGGAUUUUACUGGGCGUAAAGGGCGCGUAGGCGGUCAGCACAAGUCAGUUGUGAAAUCUCCGAGCUUAACUCGGAACGGUCAACUGAUACUGUGCGACUAGAGUGCGGAAGGGGCAACUGGAAUUCUCGGUGUAGCGGUGAAAUGCGUAGAUAUCGAGAGGAACACCUGCGGCGAAGGCGGGUUGCUGGGCCGACACUGACGCUGAUGCGCGAAAGCCAGGGGAGCGAACGGG
rnacentral:rRNA from 1 species